UCAUUUUCUAUCUUCGCCUCUCUAUCCAAACAAUCUUGUAUCUCUUUCUUACUCAGUCUCUUCUAGUUCUCUUCUUUCAUUAGAUUCGUGCUAUGAAAUCAUGAAUCCAACUUCUUGUUCUCAGCAAGAUGAAUCUUGAGCCUAUAUCAAAGCAACCCAAACAACGCAAUCUUUCAUCAGAAAUUAAAAACCCUAACCCAUGUAUCAGUAGUAAUUAAAAUAAAAUUCGUAACCAAAGAUCCACUUUAUUAAUUUGCUCCCGAAAUCAUCAGUAAGGUGUUCCCUUUUCUACUUUUCCCUACAAGAUAACUCCUCCAGUUGGUCGAAGAUCUCUUCUCCUAGAUCUUUUAGGUUGAAGAAAUCAUCUGCAACUUAUCAAAGAAGGAUUUAACCCCAUCAUAGAGUGGUAUUAAUUUCAUGAUUCUCAUGGUAUCACUCAAGUUACAAGUGUUUUUCCGAUUGAAUUGUCUGGAUUGGUCUAAUUUGGUUUUGGUUUGAUAUUUACGGUUCGGAAGUUCACAAGCCAACCGAAAUCCUAGCGGCAGAAUUUGAGGAGAUCUUGCAGUGUGAGGGCAGGCAUCUUUAAGAAACCAGAAUCAAGUAAGGGGUUUUGAAGGAUAAUAACAUUAAGGUUUGGGAUUUUAGUUGGUAAAUGCCCAACAAUGAGGAGAAUUGGGGUUUUUCUUUGAUGGUGCAACAAUAUUUUACUUAGAAGUUCGACUUGGUAUUAGUCAGGGUUUGAUCAGGAAACAAGCCAAGGAAGCUGAGAAAAGGUAUUCAGAUUGAUGACGAGGUGCGACUCGAAGAUGAUUGGGUGCCUAUGGAUGAACAACUGGGUGCAGCAGAGCUUGAGGAGGUUAUUCGAAAAAAGGAGGCGCAUUCCAGUGUUGUGGUUCUUGAGAGUGUAUGAUCCAUAAGCCUCAAAGACAAGGAAAAUAUUUCUGGUUUUGAUAUACCUAUACACGAUGUUUCUAUUCCUCAACCAAGCAAGUACCGGAGCUUGUAAUUUCUACGAAAUCAUAUACUUUAGUAGUUACCAGUUACAACAAUUAGUCAUACUUGUGUACUCGUAGCAUGGCUUACAUAAUACAUGAUCCCACGGUAUGGUUUUAAGUUGAGUAGCUUCUGAAACUCAUGUUUGGCAUGAUUUGGUGUGGGUCUUCAAAUGUUACCAGUUGAAUUUACUAAUGUCUGCUCUAUUUGAUACAGGGUAGGUUUCACCGAAAUCAUACAGUUUGGAUGUGAAUCUCACUAUGAAAUGAGAUGCAGUAACGAGAUGCUUCGGUGUUUGUUUUAUUCUUGUCCUAACAGUUUCAAAUAUGUCACCGGGGUAAUCUUUGUUGUCGAUGCCCUUGAAAGGGAUCUUAAAAUGCAAUAUCAGUCUCUUUGAACUACCACUUUCUGACUUAAAACCAAGUGAAGCAACUUCCUAUUCCAAGUGUGCAGACUCCUCUUCUUCAAAUACACCAUCUAACAUUCGCCGAGACUAUGGGGAAGCAUUCUGGUUAUGUGAAACAUUACUCAUGUUUUCUUUGUGAAUGAAGCAUUUAGACUAUGAGUGACGAACGCAAAUGAGCAAGAUGGGAACUGGAAAAGUGCUCAGGCGACACCAUCAAUGAAUCAAUAAUGAUGCAUCACCAUCGUCAUGCUCUGCAAUCCAUGUGAAUUGGUUUGAUGGAGCAGCUAGUCGAGGUGUCUACUGCUUGUACCUGCUAUAGCGAUUACUGAUAGAGGAAGUUAUUGGCGUUGAAAUGUUUUUGGCUUGUUGCUCAAAAUUUUCAUUUACACUUUGUGCUUACUAUCUUCGUUCAUUUUUGGUUCUGAUCUUUGCAUAUUGUGCUCAUAUUCUUGGGAAUGAACAUCCUUCUACUCACAUCUGUUUUGUCACGAAGACCAUCAAUGUUGGGUGAAUUCCAUCAAAACUGCAUGUGAUUGAGCUUGGCACCCAGCCAGGUCUGCUAAAGAACAACCUAAGAUUAAGGUCCUUGUCCUCCUAUUUUUUACAAUUAGUCAUAU